CGAACCGAGCGAACGUUGUUCGGAAUCACUGGGCUUAAAGGGCGCGUAGGCGGCUUAUCAAGUCAGGGGUGAAAUUUUGCGGCUUAACCGUAACAGUGCCUUUGAUACUGAUAGGCUCGAGGGAGAUAGGGGUCUGCGGAACUUCUGGUGGAGCGGUGAAAUGCGUUGAUAUCAGAAGGAACGCCGGUGGCGAAAGCGGCAGACUGGAUCUCUUCUGACGCUGAGGCGCGAAAGCCAGGGGAGCAAACGGGAUUAGACUACCCCGGUAGUCCUGGCCCUAAACGAUGGGUACUAGAUUGUGAGCGUGACAUGCGCCUACAGUCGAAGACAAAAGUGUUAAGUACCCCGCCUGGGGAGUAUGGUCGCAAGGCUG
rnacentral:rRNA from 1 species